rnacentral:misc_RNA from 1 species
UGAUAGUAAGUAAACAAGUUUAUCCAAGAUAUACACUACUGACACAAGACAACAUAAAAGUUCCGAUGGAACCUUCAUCAAACUCAAAUUUGUAAUUAUAAAUCAAUAAAUACGUCGACCAGAUCAAUUCUGAGCUAACUGAGUUAAGAAAAUAAAUUGAAAUUUCAAAAGGUUUGCAGAAGGCAGAGGCGGCAUUGUCUUUCGCUUUUUCGCUUGAGAAUGAGAUUCAAGCUAUGAUAAAUUACACGCAAACAUCAAUCCAACAAAAUCCAAGUUCUAAAACAAAGUCUUAACAUUUUUCAUGUCCUAGACAAUGUAUGCA